GUGCUUGCUUUGGCAGUACGUAUACUAAAAUUGGAAUAAUAAAGAGAAGAAUAACAUGGCCUUCUGCAAGGAUUACACACACGUUUGUGAAGCGUUCCAUAUUUUU
rnacentral:snRNA from 1 species